AUGGCCAAUAGUUUGUCUAAAAU
rnacentral:miRNA from 1 species